GAUGAACGCUGGCGGCGUGCCUAAUACAUGCAAGUCGAGCGAACAGACGAGGAGCUUGCUCCUCUGACGUUAGCGGCGGACGGGUGAGUAACACGUGGAUAACCUACCUAUAAGACUGGGAUAACUUCGGGAAACCGGAGCUAAUACCGGAUAAUAUAUUGAACCGCAUGGUUCAAUAGUGAAAGACGGUUUUGCUGUCACUUAUAGAUGGAUCCGCGCCGGAUUAGCUAGUUGGUAAGGUAACGGCUUACCAAGGCAACGAUGCGUAGCCGACCUGAGAGGAGGAGCAGCCACACUGGAACUGAGACACGGUCCAGACUCCGACGGGAGGCAGCAGUGGGGAACAUUGGAAAAGGGGCGAAAGCCGGAGGGAGCAACGCCGCGGGGUGGAAGAAGGUCUGAGGAUGGUAAAGCCUUUUAAUGGGGGAAGAACAGCAGUAAGUUAAUACCUGCAUGUUUUGACGGUACCAAAAGAAAAAGCAACGGCUAACUUCGUG
rnacentral:rRNA from 1 species